CCCCCUUCUCAUUUUAGUUUUAGUGGGAAAUGCAAAGGUAAAUCAAAUCUGAAGUUGUCGUCUGCAAUAUAUCCUUCCUUGAGCAUCAUCCUUGAUGAUAUUUUGAAGGCCACUAGGAAAAUCAUAAGGCCAUAAUACUACAUCAGUUUUCUCCAGAACCAUUUUUGAGAGGAAAUCGGCUGCUUUAUUAGUUUCUCUCCAUGAAUGAGACACUUGGUAGUUCUCAAACUUCCUUAAAAGGAGCCAAAUGUGCUUCAAGCAUCUAUCAGCUUUUCUUCUAUGAGACUGCUCCCCAUUAAUGGUUUUCACAACACUCAUAGAGUCAGACUCAACCCACACUGCUUUAAUCCCAAGACCAAAAGCAAGAACAAGACCUCUCCAUA
rnacentral:misc_RNA from 1 species